rnacentral:misc_RNA from 1 species
UGGCGGAGAAAAAGUUUUCGGACUAUAUCAUGUUGAUGGUGCGUGCGUUACGUCUAAAAUUAUAUUUGAAUUCAUGGGGUGUUUAUUCCAUGGGUGUCCAAAAUGUUUCAGGCCUGAAGCAGAAAACCCAUUUACGAAAGAACCUAUGAUUGAAAGCUUCAUAAAAACUAAUAAAAAAUCUAGUUUCCUUAAACAACAGUUCCCCGACUUUGAAUACGUCGAAAUGUGGGAGCACGAUUGGGUUAAAAUUAAGGCCGCAUUAACUCCCGAAGAAAAAUGUCAGCUCUUUAACGUUCCGUAUAUUAGACCUAUAUUGAAUCCAAGAGAUGCUUUUUUUGGAGGAAGGACUAAUGCGACUUGUUUGUAUUAUCAGGUAAAACAGGAUGAAGAAAUUCAUUACGUGGAUUUUACUUCUCUGUAUCCGUACGUUAAUAAGUACGGAACUUAUCCAAUUGGGCACCCCGAAAUAAUCGCAAACAAAAAUAUGUCCACUGACAUUAAUGAUUAUUUCGGUAUAAUCAAGUGUACUAUUGAAGUACCAAAACAAUUGCUCCAUCCUGUCUUACCUUAUCGUACAAACGGUAAAUUAACGUUUCCAUUGUGUAAAACAUGUGUGGAAGCGCAGCAGCAAACAGCGUGUAAUCACACAAAAACCGAGAGAUCGUUUACAGGUACUUGGGUUACGACGGAAGUGUCGAAGGCCGUGGAAGUUGGAUACACAAUAGAAAGAGUACACAUUGCGUGGCAUUUCACCGAGAAAAGCGUCUACACCCCAGAUACACCCUCGUCGGGAUUAUUCACCGAGUAUAUCAAUACCUUUCUAAAAUUGAAACAGGAAGCAUCGGGAUGGCCAGAAUGGUGUAAAACUCCGGAAGAUCAAGAAAAAUAUAUUAACGAUUACAAAUCUGUAGAGGGUAUUACUCUAGAAAAAAAUAAUAUCAAAUACAAUCCGUGUUUACGAUCUCUAGCCAAACUAAUGCUAAAUAGUUUUUGGGGUAAAUUUGGCCAAAAAGAAAAUUUAACGAAAACAAAAUAUACACAGGAACCGAACGAUGUAUACGAUAUUCUAACCGAUCCUCAGGUAAUUGUUCACGAUAUAAAUUUUAUCAACGAUAACCUAGCUGAGAUUAAAUACGAAAACGAAGAACAGUUUGUAGAUGUUAACAGAAAAGUUAAUGUCGCAAUAGCAGCAUUCACAACGGCAUCAGCUAGGUUAAAGUUGUACGAUCUCUUAGAGAAAUUACAAGAGCGUGUUUUGUACUACGACACAGACAGCGUAGUAUACGUGACAAAGCCUGGGGAGUGGAACCCCCCACUCGGUGACUAUUUAGGUCAGUUAACGUCCGAAAUUGAUCCGAAGGAGGGAAAGUAUAUCUCAUGCUUCGUGUCGGGUGGCCCCAAAAAUUAUGCAUACAAAUUAGAUUCGGGAAAAACCGUUUGCAAAGUUAAAGGUUUAACCUUAAAUUUUGCAAACUCUAAAAAAAUUAACUUUGAAACUGUUUCUAAUAUUGUGAAAGGUAUAGGUCCUGAUAUCAUUAAGACGGUUGAAUCUAAUCGUAUCACUCGAAAACCAAAGACGCGUAAAAUUGUUAACGAAACCUCUACAAAAGAUUAUCGCAUCGUGUAUGAUAAACGAAUAAUAAUUGAUAACUUUAAAACUUUACCAUACGGUUACGUAUGGUAGAGCAGCUUUUCAUUUAUUUACUAAUUUACAUUCGCAUAAUAUUGUUUUAAAGAACUAUGAUUUUUCUGUAUUUAUUUGUAGUUUAAGUUUGUAGUUUAAGAAUUUUGAUUUCACAUAAAUUAUUUAUUAGUACCUUGUUUUAGUUCGAG